rnacentral:rRNA from 1 species
UGCUCUCUGAUUCAGCGGCGGACGGGUGAGUAAUGCCUAGGAAUCUGCCUGAUAGUGGGGGACAACGUUUCGAAAGGAACGCUAAUACCGCAUACGUCCUACGGGAGAAAGCAGGGGACCUUCGGGCCUUGCGCUAUCAGAUGAGCCUAGGUCGGAUUAGCUAGUUGGUGAGGUAACGGCUCACCAAGGCGACGAUCCGUAACUGGUCUGAGAGGAUGAUCAGUCACACUGGAACUGAGACACGGUCCAGACUCCUACGGGAGGCAGCAGUGGGGAAUAUUGGACAAUGGGCGAAAGCCUGAUCCAGCCAUGCCGCGUGUGUGAAGAAGGUCUUCGGAUUGUAAAGCACUUUAAGUUGGGAGGAAGGGCAUUAACCUAAUACGUUAGUGUUUUGACGUUACCGACAGAAUAAGCACCGGCUAACUUCGUGCCAGCAGCCGCGGUAAUACGAAGGGUGCAAGCGUUAAUCGGAAUUACUGGGCGUAAAGCGCGCGUAGGUGGUUUGUUAAGUUGAAUGUGAAAGCCCCGGGCUCAACCUGGGAACUGCAUCCAAAACUGGCAAGCUAGAGUAUGGCAGAGGGUGGUGGAAUUUCCUGUGUA